UGGGGAAUUUUGGACAAUGGGGGAAACCCUGAUCCAGCCAUCCCGCGUGUGCGAUGAAGGCCUUCGGGUUGUAAAGCACUUUUGGCAGGAAAGAAACGUCAUGGGUUAAUACCCCGUGAAACUGACGGUACCUGCAGAAUAAGCACCGGCUAACUACGUGCCAGCAGCCGCGGUAAUACGUAGGGUGCAAGCGUUAAUCGGAAUUACUGGGCGUAAAGCGUGCGCAGGCGGUUCGGAAAGAAAGAUGUGAAAUCCCAGAGCUCAACUUUGGAACUGCAUUUUUAACUACCGGGCUAGGGUGUGUCAGAGAGGGGUGGAAUUCCGCGUGUAGCAGUGAAAUGCGUAGAUAUGCGGAGGAACACCGAUGGCGAAGGCAGCCUCCUGGGAUAACACUGACGCUCAUGCACGAAAGCGUGGGGAGCAAACAGG
rnacentral:rRNA from 1 species